ACACUGAAUUUGAGCAGAAACCAUAAGGAUACUCAAAGGACCUGUGACUCUCAGGAAAUGCAUCAAAUGAGAGGGACAGAUGAAACAGUUUCAAGACAAUAGCAGGAAAAACAUGCUGAAGAUUGAAACAAACCUUGGCUGGAAAUAUUUGAAGGUAUCUAGCCAGUCCACAAUGAAAGCUUUGUUGCACCCCAUGAGUCUUCUGGCAGAAAUGAUGGCGCCUGUAUUCUUUGGUUUCCCUAAACAUCACACCCUGCCUGUUUAUACGAGGCUCUUCAAUUAA
rnacentral:lncRNA from 1 species